rnacentral:rRNA from 1 species
GACGAACGCUGGCGGCGUGCUUAACACAUGCAAGUCGAACGAAGUGGCGAACGGGUGAGUAACGCGUAAUCAACCUGCCCUUCAGAGGGGGAUAACAGUUGGAAACGACUGCUAAUACCGCAUACUGAAGGAGGGGAUUGCGUCGGAUUGGCUAGUUGGAGGGGGAACGGCCCACCAAGGCGAGGAGCGGUAGCCGGUCUGGGGAGCGGAACGGCCACAUUGGGAAUGAGACACGGUCCAGACUCCUACGGGAGGCAGCAGUGGGGAAUCUUCCGCAAUGGACGAAAGUCUGACGGAGCAACGCCGCGUGGGUGAUGACGGCCUUCGGGUUGUAAAGCUCUGUUAAUCGGGACGCGGUACCGGAAUAGAAAGCCACGGCUAACUACGUGCCAGCCGCCGCGGUAAUUC